rnacentral:rRNA from 1 species
UACGAGGGGCAAGCGUUGUUCGGAAUUAUUGGCGUAAAGAGCUCGUAGGCGGUUGUCGCGUCUGCCGUGAAAGUCCGGGCUCAACUCCGGAUCUGCGGUGGUACGGGCAGACUAGAGUGAUGUAGGGAGACUGGAAUUCCUGGUGUAGCGGUGAAAUGCGCAGAUAUCAGGAGAACACCCGUGGCGAAAGCGGCCUCUCUGGAACGGUACUGACGCUGAGACGCGAAGCGUGGGAGCAAACAGGAU